GGCGUAGGGCGCGAGCGUUGUCCGGAUUUAUUGGGCGUAAAGAGCUCGUAGGCGGUCUGUCGCGUCGGUCGUGAAAACUUGGGGCUUAACCCUGAGCUUGCGGUCGAUACGGGCAUGACUGGAGUUCGGCAGGGGAGACUGGAAUUCCUGGUGUAGCGGUGAAAUGCGCAGAUAUCAGGAGGAACACCGGUGGCGAAGGCGGGUCUCUGGGCCGAUACUGACGCUGAGACGCGAAAGCGUGGGGAGCGAACAGG
rnacentral:rRNA from 1 species